CUGAUACAACAUUUCAUAGGGAGAUAUAUUUCCAAGGAUAGGGGUAGGUAUUAGGUUGAUCAAAUGUGUGGUAGUGAGAACACAAUCACCCCAAAAUUGAUGAGGCAGAUUGGCUUGGAAUUUAAUGGCUCUGGCAAUAUUGAGAAGGUGUUGGUGUUUAUGCUCAAACUAUUCCAUUUUGCUGUGGUGUUUCUACACAGCUUAGUUGAUGGAUAAUCCCCUUAUCACGAUAGAAUUCUGGUAUGCUAAAUUUCAUCCCAUUGUGAGAUCGGAUAAUUUUUGUUUUACAUUGAAAGUGUGUUGGUACUAAAUGAUAGAAAGACUGCAUAGUGGAUCAAGUUUGGGAUUUAUCAUGUAAUAGAUAUGUCCAAGUCAUUCUACUGUAGUCAUCAACAAUUGCUAGGAAAUACUUUGAUCUAUCUAAGGAAGGGACAGAGUAUGGUCCACAAAUGUUGCAAUGAAUAAGGUCAAAGAUAUUAGUUGAUCUUGUCUGGCUAUUUGGAAAAGACAACUUAUUCUGCUUGGCUAAGGGGCAAAUGGAACAAUGUAGAUGCUUAUUGAACGUGAUGUUUGGAACAACUUUGUGUAAAAUUGAUUAUUUCGAAGUAGGAAUGUGUCCUAACCGGCAGUGCCAGAUAUCAAUCUUACUUUGAAG
rnacentral:lncRNA from 1 species